rnacentral:tRNA from 1 species
GGUAGCUCAGUGGUAGAGCAGACGACUGAAAAUCGUCGUGUCGGUGGUUCGACUCCG